GUGAUGUCAUCGAGUAGCCGCCUCGGAAGGAAGAGCUGGGAAGGUUGGGCGGUCUAAGAGUGCUGGCUAGGCACUUUAUUAGAGGGCAGUCAGGUCUUCAUGGUCUAGCGACAGGUCCGGAGAAGUGAGGGGAAAUGGAGCAUCUCCCUGGAAACGCUGGGAUCUUAGAAGGUUUCUGCAUACCCAGAUGUGGUUGCAGC
rnacentral:lncRNA from 1 species